UCGGGAAUAUUGCGCAAUGGAGGGAACUCUGACGCAGUGACGCCGCGUAUAGGAAGAAGGUUUUCGGAUUGUAAACUAUUGUCGUUAGGGAAGAAAAAAGACAGUACCUAAGGAGGAAGCUCCGGCUAACUACGUGCCAGCAGCCGCGGUAAUACGUAGGGAGCAAGCGUUAUCCGGAUUUAUUGGGUGUAAGGGUGCGUAGACGGGCGAUCAAGUUAGUUGUGAAAUCCCUCGGCUCAACUGAGGAACUGCAACUAAAACUGGUUGUCUUGAGUGCAGGAGAGGUAAGUGGAAUUCCUAGUGUAGCGGUGAAAUGCGUAGAUAUUAGGAGGAACACCAGUGGCGAAGGCGACUUACUGGACUGUAACUGACGUUGAGGCACGAAAGUGUGGGGAGCAAACAGGAUUAGAUACC
rnacentral:rRNA from 1 species